rnacentral:rRNA from 1 species
GACGAACGCUGGCGGCGUGCUUUACACAUGCAAGUCGAACGGUGAAGGUGGAGCUUGCUCCGCCGGAUCAGUGGCGAACGGGUGAGUAACACGUGGGCAACCUGCCCCUAACUUUGGGAUAACUACUCGAAAGAGUAGCUAAUACCGGAUAUGAAGUCUGUAGGCAUCUAUGGAUUUGGAAAGUUUUUCGGUUAGGGAUGGGCCCGCGGCCUACCAGCUUGUUGGGGAGGUAGUGGCUCACCAAGGCGACGACGGGUAGCCGGCCUGGGAGGGCGACCGGCCACACUGGGACUGAGACACGGCCCAGACUCCUACGGGAGGCAGCAGUGGGGAAUAUUGCGCAAUGGGCGAAAGCCUGACGCAGCAACGCCGCGUGCGGGAUGAAGGCCUUCGGGUUGUAAACCGCUUUCAGCAGGGAAGAAGCGAAAGUGACGGUACCUGCAGAAGAAGCACCGGCUAACUACGUGCCAGCCGCCGCAGUAA